CACUCGUGAAUUCCGGAACGACACC
rnacentral:piRNA from 2 species